rnacentral:rRNA from 1 species
CCCUUAGAUGUCCUGGGCCGCACGCGUGCUACACUGACACUUGCAACGAGUACUUUGCUUUACCGAAAGGUAAUGCUAAUCAUCAAUAAGUGUCGUGAUGGGGAUAGAUCUUUGGAAUUAUGGAUCUUGAACGAGGAAUGCCUAGUAAGCGUAGGUCAUUAGCCUACGCUGAUUAAGUCCCUGCCCUUUGUACACACCGCCCGUCGCUACUACCGAUUUCGAGUGGUCCGGUGAAGCUUUUGGACUGCGCGUGGCUUCGUGCCGUGUCGCGGAAAGUCAGCUAAACCUUAUCACUUAGAGGAAGUAAAAGUCGUAACA